UAGGGAAGUCUUCCACAAUGGACGCAAGUCUGGUGGAGCAACGCCGCGUGAGUGAAGAAGGGUUUCGGCUCGUAAAGCUCUGUUGUUAAAGAAGAACGUGGGUAAGAGUAACUGUUUACCCAGUGACGGUAUUUAACCAGAAAGCCACGGCUAACCACGUGCCAC
rnacentral:rRNA from 1 species